rnacentral:rRNA from 1 species
CCAGACUCCUACGGGAGGCAGCAGUGGGGGAUAUUGCACAAUGGGGGGAACCCUGAUGCAGCGACGCCGCGUGGGUGAAGGAGUGCUUCGGCAUGUAAAGCCCUAUCGGCAGGGAAGAAGCAAGACGGUACCUGACUAAGAAGCCCCGGCUAACUACGUGCCAGCAGCCGCGGUAAUACGUAGGGGGCAAGCGUUAUCCGGAUUUACUGGGUGUAAAGGGAGCGUAGACGGCAGCGCAAGUCUGAAGUGAAAUCCCAUGGCUUAACCAUGGAACUGCUUUGGAAACUGUGCAGCUGGAGUGCAGGGGAGGUAAGCGGAAUUCCUAGUGUAGCGGUGAAAUGCGUAGAUAUUAGGAGGAACACCAGUGGCGAAGGCGGCUUACUGGACUGUAACUGACGUUGAGGCUCGAAAGCGUGGGGAGCAAACAGGAUUAGAUACCCGAGUACA